rnacentral:lncRNA from 1 species
AGACCCGGGAGCAGCCCCCCGGGGUUGGGUCGGAAGAGUCUGCUGCUCCAUUCCACCGCUCCGGGACUGGCCCCCACAGAGCGAUUCCCAGCACCCCUCUGUGGCACCGAGAACAUCCAGGCUGCUGCCAGGGUGUGGUCCUUGGGUUUUCUACUCUUUAUCACCUGAAGCCUCACCAUCUGACCGACUCUGGGAUAGCCGAGGCCUUCAGUCUCCCAAACCAGCCUUUGCCCAAAGCCCGACUGAGGGAUCCCUACCUGGGGACCUUCAGCAAAUGUCCUUAUUUAGUGAGGGUAGCAGCUAAGCUGUCCUCUCUGCAGUAAAUCAUGCCUCCAGCCAUCAAUGCCUUUGUGGCUUUGGUCACUAUAGGACUUUAUGACCAGAACCAGCAUAUAAACUUUAAUUAGUAAGGCCAAAGUCACACUGAUGUUGAAUCCAAAAAUUCACUUAAAAAAUAAUGUAUUUAUUUUGAGACAGUUUUUGAAAACUAAGGAAUAUGAUACCUGCACACAUAGGCUAGGAGAGCAUUGCACUCACUUAGCCCCUCUCCUUGUGGGACUCUGGAUUGCUCCUUUGUGUGUGUGUGCUACAAAUCUUCACUCAUAAGCUCUGCUUGGCCUAGAAAGGGCUAGUGCUAAAUGAGUAGGGUUGAAAGAGAUGCUAUUUGAAUGAGUAAGAGGACCACUGAGACAGGCACAUUCACACUACCCACACUAGAGUGCGAGCUUCCACUUUAUGUACACAUGGGAUAAGUUGCUGAUAGGAAUCCAUUUCUCCACCACAUGUGAUAGCGUCAUAUUUCUUCCACUGUAAACACAUCUCAAAACACAAACCUAAAGUACUCAUCCGUCCCCUAGCUCUCUGACCCCAUUGUAUUCACCAACACAGGCCUGGCUUGGGGCCCUUUGAGCCAAGGCUGUCAACCAUUAAAAACCAGAGCUCUCUCUUGAUUUUCUCCAGUCGCUGAGCCUCACAUUCGGUACCAACAGUGUGAGAUGAAUUAGUUCGAGGCAGAAGACUAAUAAGCAUAGACCUUUUAUAGAUGGUCACGAGGCUGCAUUACUGACAACGGCUGGGUUCUCUAAAAACUUGGCAGCCAUUUAUUUACAAACGCUGUAAACAGUACAAGAAACGUCAGAGGUCUAAACAGUUAAUGUGAGAAAAAUACCAAUAGUUCAUGACACUAAAUUCAACGGUUCCUGGUGCGAGGUGGAACCCUAGAAACCGAACUCCGGCUCUGGCUAAGUGGUCUUCCUAUUGCUGUUCAUCCCCUUUUAUCCUUUCAAACCAGAAAUGACUUGCGAAACCUCCCCACAGCAGCUCUGGGAAGAACUGAAGUCUCUGCAGUCCUGUCAGAUCUUCACAAGGAAUUGGCUUCCAUCCAGCUUCCCCUUCUCCUUAAGAAUUGUGAGGACUCGCUACAAGACAGGACAGACACCCAUCCAGCUAUGUGGUAUGACAAAAAGGCAAGAGACCUGGGCCAGCUAUCCAAUCGCUCUGCCCUUCAGGGUGCACCCGAGGAAGAGAGGAGACAAGGCCUCUUUCAUCACCACUACACUGCUAUAGCUUGUUUAACUCUCCAUCCUUAAACUUCCUGAGAACAGGUCGGGAGAAUCCUCAGGAGGGCAGGGACAGACUGACUGUCAACAACGCCUGGCUGAGGGAGGGCCUGGCAGGAAGGUCUUCAGUGAAUAAUGAACGGCAGCCCCAUGGAAGUGACUGUUGGGAUCUAAUGCACGUGUUUAUUCAGUCAAUGCUUAUGGAUUUCUUUUGUUAGACAGUUUCACCAUGAAGACCAGGCUGGCCUUUACCUUGAGAUCCUUCUGCCGCAGCCUCCCAGUGCUGGAUUUGCAUGGAUUAGCAUGACAUUGUGGAAGGAGUUUUCUCCACUAAGGUUCAGUAACUCGUAGAAUACCUAGUACUUGUCAUAUAAAAUGCAAGAA